rnacentral:lncRNA from 1 species
GCUUGUCAGGGGAGUUCUGGGAGAUGUAGUUCCUCUUUCUCCUGCCAUCGUGCAUUCCCUCCGCCCCCUCCCCCAACCUCCUCACACACUUCAUCGAUCAACUGCCAGUGUCGUUACCAUCAACAUAAACGACGGUAGUAAAUAAUGGCAGUAUGAUUACAUUCAUACUUUAUGUACCACCCUCUCAACAGUGCUGCAAAGGCUGUUUGGAUAUGGAGGAGGCCAAAGUGGCAAUUACUCAGACUGGCGUCCAAAUCUGGAAAUUCCCACACCAGCAUGUUCUCUCCACUCUGCUCCCUCUUCAGAGGGAAUUGGUUUGCAGGGAUUUAGACUACAGUAAGGCUUCCCCAGAGCUUGCAAACAGGGUUCAUUUACCCUCUAUGCAAACAAGGUCAACAACUCCGGAACUGCAGUAGAAGCAGCAAAGAACAGAAAUAAUUUGAUACUAACAUCCUCAUUCUACAGAAUUUGAGCCGUUCAGAAUGUCAAUAAUUUACCCUAAGACAACACCAGGGCCUGGGAGUGUCUGUUUAUACUUGUGCACUCGCAAGACGGAGUUCUGGAAUGAGCGAUGAGCUUCCUUAUCAGGUACAGCCAAGGGGCGCCUGGGAGGGAGCAGCUGUCCGACCCUGCCUGACUCACCAGUGUUGCAAUCUGAGAAAUGGAUUCUGGGCCUGUUUAUCUCUGCCCCGGGGCAGGGCCAGGCUUGACCAGAGGGGCCUCUGAUCUCAUAUGCAGCUUCUACAAGGCAAGAAAUAAGCUUGAGAGAAUAUAGUGCUUCCAACGAGACACUAAGAUGAAGCCAGGUUUUUGGCAGAGUGAGUGGAAG